CACCUGCACCCCAGCUGUUCCACGCGUUGCCAUCCCCGCGUUACGGCUUUGAUCUCUCGCUGUUCAUCAUUGACCUCUAAAGUGCUGCUGACACUGGAGUCGGGGAUGGAGAGCAGCUUCAUGAAUCGAUAGGGCCGUCCCGGGCGCGGGCUGCCCGUGGGAUUCUCCCCUACGGGGAUGCUCGUUUUCCACCUGCAGAGCUGCGGAAGAUCUGCGGGGGGUGAAGCAUCUCCGCUCCCAGCCUUUCUUCUUUGCCCCGCUCCGGACGUGCUGCUUUGCCCGCCCCUGCUUUGCCCUUCCGAGCCCCUUCUUCCUCCACACAUCCCGGUCCCGGCACCUUGACCUCCCCGAGGCUCGGAGGAAGCUUCAAGCGGGCACGGAGAGCUGUUGUAGUGCCCACGGAGGGCACAGCUCGGUGAGGAGCACCUCCUGCUCCGGAGACCUGCCAGCCCUCCUUGCCCUAGAGACACACUGGACCGAAGAUGCUGCGAGAACUGGCGCGGUGCCCGCCCGGCUCUCGCAGCCCUCUCGCUGCCGCUGAUUGACAGGCCGAGGUCAGGGAGAGCUCUCCGGCGCUGCUGGUGUCGGGUUUCGGGGACUCCAGAUAAAGCAGCUCCAGCGCUGGGCGACCCCUGCGGCCCCGCCGGGGCAGGAACCUCUCAAACUUCUUCCUCCCUUCCGCCACGCUCCGGGAGGCAGCGGGUAAAGGUUUAUUCCAGAGAGGUCCCAAAUGGUGAUGGCACCGCAUGGAUACAAUGCACCACUCUAUGAGCUCCCCGCAGACUCCCAUUUCCAGCAUGGAAAUGAAGGGAGCUGGGAGGACACGUUUGCACAGAUACAGAGAUGGGCUUCUUCCUAAACUUGGGUGUUUUCGUUCAGCAUCGCAGUGAUGCACACACAUUGCAAAUGCGUCGCGUAGCUGGUGCCUGUCUCUGACGGCUGAAUCCUGCAGCCUCCCAGCAGCAAAACAGAUCUGAUUCUGCUCUUCCCACUAAUGAGACUUUUCCAGGAAGGCUUUAUAAUGGAUAUUAAACACUCACUUGCAAAG
ensembl:lncRNA